rnacentral:rRNA from 1 species
AGAGUUUGAUCCUGGCUCAGGAUGAACGCUAGCGAUAGGCCUAACACAUGCAAGUCGAGGGGCAGCAUAGAGUAGCAAUACUUUGAUGGCGACCGGCGCACGGGUGAGUAACACGUAUGCAACCUACCUACAUCAGGGGAAUAACCCGGAGAAAUUCGGACUAAUACCGCAUAAUACAGGGAUGCCGCAUGGCAAUAUUUGUUAAAGAUUUAUCGGAUGUAGAUGGGCAUGCGUUCCAUUAGCUAGUUGGUAAGGUAACGGCUUACCAAGGCAACGAUGGAUAGGGGAACUGAGAGGUUUGUCCCCCACACUGGAACUGAGACACGGACCAGACUCCUACGGGAGGCAGCAGUGAGGAAUAUUGGUCAAUGGACGAGAGUCUGAACCAGCCAAAUCGCGUGAAGGAAGACUGCCCUACGGGUUGUAAACUUCUUUUGUACAGGAAUAAAAGACAUUACGUGUAAUGUAUUGCAUGUACUGUACGAAUAAGCAUCGGCUAACUCCGUGCCAGCAGCCGCGGUAAUACGGAGGAUGCGAGCGUUAUCCGGAUUUAUUGGGUUUAAAGGGUGCGCAGGCGGGAUUUUAAGUCAGCGGUGAAAUUUUCAGGCUCAACCUGAACACUGCCGUUGAAACUGGGAUUCUUGAGUAUGGAUGAAGUAGGCGGAAUUCGUUGUGUAGCGGUGACAUGCUUAGAUAUAACGAGGAACUCCGAUUGCGUAGGCAGCUUACUAAGCCAUAACUGACGCUCAAGCACGAAAGCGUGGGGAUCAAACAGGAUUAGAUACCCUGGUAGUCG